GAACUCCUUAAAUGCAAUUUCCAAAUGCAUAAUUGAAUAUAUAAAUUUUGGUGGAUAUCACACAUCAUAACUGUAUGUUAAUUAAUGUAACAAAUGUUGCCUGGCAAAUGCAUUUUUAGCCAGUCUGGGGCACUUGGUUUUCAAAAAUAUUUUGGGGAGCAUUGUCUCCUUUAAGCUGCUCUUUGUGUCGAGGAUUCUCCCCAUGAAGAGUUGCUCAUUUGAGGACAACAUUCCAUCCCUUUUGUCUCAUGUAUCAAUAUUACAAAAGUUCUCUGCUUUCCAUAUUUUCACAUUGGCAUAAUUCUGUGCAUUGUAAAUCCGCUUUCCAUAGCCGGAUUUUGAGGUGGGCACCUCCCCUGAAAUAGUUUUGCACCUCCCCUGAGAAUUUUUGCACCUCUCCUAAAACGUCAUAUGCACCUCCCCUUGAAGUUUCAAUGAUAGAUGAAACUAAAAAUUUGACAUUUUUUGGUUGUUCAGGGUCUACACUUGGUAAGAAAGUUUUCCUUUAAAAUUGAAACAGUGAUAACCAUUCAUCUCUAUCAAGUACCCUUUCAAUAAUCUAUCAAGUACACCAGAUUGGCUAAAAAUGAAUAUCCCAUGCAACAUUUGUUAUGUCACUCUAUAAUCUAUACAUUUAUGCACUAUCACACUAUGAAUGAAGAUGGAUG